CGCCCAUCCGAUCAGAAUAAUCUCUAUCACAAACAGAGUAGUUGAAUCGGUGAAGUAUUCAACCUCACCGGCUGUGUACCACGACGGAGUGUUCAGAAUUCCGAUCUUAGUCAGAAGCUCUGGUAUGAAGAUCCCGGCCGCACCAAGCAUUGCCCAUCUGCCAUGCACUAUCUCCGCCUGUACAUUCCACUUCAAACUGUCUGGGUCCGAUGCUGUAAACCACAGUUCCAAUGAAAAAUGAACAUAUCUGUGUAUGAUAUGAUUGAUUCAUCGAUUGAUAUGAUUGAUCGAUUACUUACAAAGACCAAGUGGGUCGAAGCCGAAGUCAGCUGGGAGAGAGCCAUCGAGCCAUUCCGGAGGAGUGCUUCCGGGGAACCAAAUAGGACGUUCAGCUGUGGCCGCGGCAUAAACGGAGAAGGUAGUAGAUUUCCUGGCUAUGGAUAAAGAUGAUGCAUACCUCUCUUGCCUGAGUUUCCUCCCGCCAAAGAAGGAAGUUUUUGUUGCACCCAAUCCAUUCUGAGAACUGCAAAAACCAAGUGG
rnacentral:lncRNA from 1 species